rnacentral:tRNA from 1 species
GCGGAUGUAGCCAAGGGGUUAAGGCAAUGGGUUGUGGCUCCAUUAUUCGCGGGUUCGAGUCCCGUCGUUCGCC